GAGGGUAGAGCUCAGUGGUAGAGCAUGUGCUUAGCGCACACGAGGUCCUGGGUUCAAUGCCUAGUCCCUCCA
rnacentral:tRNA from 1 species